GCAGCCGCGGUAAUUCCAGCUCCAAUAGCGUAUAUUAAAGUUGUUGCAGUUAAAAAGCUCGUAGUUGGAUCUCGGGUCCGGGCUCGCGGUCCACCUCGCGGUGGUUACUGCCCGUCCCGACCUACCUACCGGUUUUCCCUUGGUGCUCUUAACUGAGUGUCUCGGGUGGCCGGAACGUUUACUUUGAAAAAAUUAGAGUGUUCAAAGCAGGCGCUUCGCCUGAAUAAUGUUGCAUGGAAUAAUGGAAUAGGACCUCGGUUCUAUUUUGUUGGUUUUCGGAACUCGAGGUAAUGAUUAAGAGGGACAGACGGGGGCAUUCGUAUGAUGGUGUUAGAGGUGAAAUUCUUGGAUCGCCGUCAGACGAACUACUGCGAAAGCAUUUGCCAAGAAUGUUUUCAUUAAUCAAGAACGAAAGUCAGAGGUUCGAAGACGAUCAGAUACCGUCCUAGUUCUGACCAUAAACGAUGCCGACUAGCGAUCCGCCGGAGUUGUUUCAAUGACCCGGCGGGCAGCUUCCGGGAAACCAAAGUCUUUGGGUUCCGGGGGAAGUAUGGUUGCAAAGCUGAAACUUAAAGGAAUUGACGGAAGGGCACCACCAGGAGUGGAGCCUGCGGCUUAAUUUGACUCAACACGGGAAAGCUUACCCGGCCCGGACACCGUAAGGAUUGACAGAUUGAGAGCUCUUUCUUGAUUCGGUGGGUGGUGGUGCAUGGGCCGUUCUUAGUUGGUGGAGCGAUUUGUCUGGUUAAUUCCGAUAACGAACGAGACUCUAGCCUAUUAAAUAGUUCGCCGAUUUCGAUCUGUCGGCGUUAACUUCUUAGAGGGACAAGUGGCUUUUAGCCACGCGAGAUUGAGCAAUAACAGGUCUGUGAUG
rnacentral:rRNA from 1 species